rnacentral:rRNA from 1 species
UACGGAGGAUUCAAGCGUUAUCCGGAUUUAUUGGGUUUAAAGGGUGCGUAGGCGGUCGGAUAAGUUAGAGGUGAGAUCCCGGGGCUCAACUUCGGAAUUGCCUCUGAUACUGUUCGGCUAGAGAGUAGUUGCGGUAGGCGGAAUGUAUGGUGUAGCGGUGAAAUGCUUAGAGAUCAUACAGAACACCGAUUGCGAAGGCAGCUUACCAAGCUACUUCUGACGUUGAGGCACGAAAGCGUGGGGAGCAAACAGG